rnacentral:lncRNA from 1 species
AGCAGAUCAAAGUUGCACUGAUAGUGAAUUGUGUAUCUCGUCAAACAUUUCAAUACAGACUAGAUGAGGAGGGAGCAGGAUUUGCCAGUUCCUGUAUGCCGAUGGGGAUUGUGUUCUGGCUCCUUGUCAGUGCCUUAAAAGAAGCCUAUGCUCUGAACAGUGAGCCUGGGGGAAGAGAGAGCCUGUGUGUGGAUUGCGUCCCACCUUGCCUUUUCUCCCAGCCCCUUGCAGCGAGCUCUCAUGUGCCAGAGGGAAGGGGAGAGCCUCACUGAACUGGAACAGCACGAGUGAGGACAAAGCGCAUUUGGCUGGGGGUCCUCGCCACCCUGCGGCGGAGACAACCAGCUCCUGCCAGGUAGAUGCCCACAGGGGAGAAGACAAGUUCAGCUGAGCUGAUGCAUCUCGGCACCUGAUACCAGGUUCAGGUAAGGGCACGUUGCUUGGAGCUGGGUUUUAUUUCCGCAUUUUCUUCUCUGAACUCACAAACUGGCUCCAGA